rnacentral:ncRNA from 2 species
UCGUGAAUAAGGGAUGGUGUUCCCGAUAACUGCUAAAAUUAGCUGAUGACACCUGUUUAACU